rnacentral:rRNA from 1 species
UACGUAGGGCGCAAGCGUUGUCCGGAAUUAUUGGGCGUAAAGCGUCCGCAGGUGGCACCUCAAGUCUGCUGUCAAAGACCGGGGCUUAACCCCAGAAAGGCAGUGGAAACUGAAGUGCUAGAGUGCAGUAGGGGUAGAGGGAAUUCCCGGUGUAGCGGUGAAAUGCGUAGAGAUCGGGAAGAACACCAAUUGCGAAGGCAGCUCGCUGGGACGUUACUGACACUGAGGCGCGGAAAGCGUGGGAGCGAACAGG